rnacentral:rRNA from 1 species
AUGAUGCCGCCGGCGCUGCUAAGCUUACCGCGCUCCUCGUCGCCGUCGGUAUCCCCUUCUCCUCUCUGCCCCGGCCGCCGAUCGGCCGCCGUCCAGCGCCACCGCCCGUCGAUCCCCUCCAGACCCGCCGCAGGAAUAUGCUAUGCCAGUCAAGCGGUUGAAUUGUUGCCGUCUUUGUACCCGGGGACAGGCGUCAUCGUUCGAGACGCAAAGCUGGAGGACUGUUGGGAAGUAGCAGAUACUCACUGCAGCUCAUUCUUUCCGGGUUACAAAUUCCCAUUAGACCUUGUUCUACGGCUCGAUCGUUACAUCGCCCUCCUAUCCGGCUUUUCAGUUCCGCCAGGCUGCACGAGAAGUUGCCUUGUUGCAGUUAACCCCUCUGCAGCUAACAGUGCUAUCAGUAUCGAAUGUGGAGAUUUGAGAGACGCCGAAUUUCAUGGGAAAUACAGUCUCAGUAAAGGCUCUAUAGCUGGCAUUCUUACGGUCGACACAGUAGCAGACUUUCUUCCAAGAAGGGGACGUCUCAAGCAGAGAAGAACAGGAAUUGCAUACAUAGCAAACGUCGCGGUUCGGAAGGAGGAGCGUCGAAAAGGAAUUGCUAAAAUGCUCGUCGCGGAAGCCGAGGCGCGAGCAAGGAGCUGGGGAUGCCGGUCAGUGGCCUUGCACUGCGAUGUAAGUAACCUCGCCGCGCUGCGACUGUACAAAAGCCAAGGUUACAAAACCAUCCGUGUACCAGAAGACGCCAAGUGGCCAGCACCCAAGAUAGAUCAAUCAGUGCGAUACGAGUUCAUGAUGAAGCUAGUGCCCAAGAGCUAA